AAAAUAACCAUGAUUCCCCUAGUAACGGCGAGUGAAGAGGGAAAAGCUCAAAGUUGGAACCUGGCUGUCUUAGAUAGUCCGGAUUGUAAACUAAAGAGCGUGAGUCCAGGCAAGCCGGUUGAUCAAGUCCUUUGGAAUGAGGCGCCACUGAGGGUGAGAGCCCCGUAAAUCGACUGAGCAUUUGUCUUUUGUGUCUCGCGUUCAAAGAGUCAGGUUGUUUGGGAAUGCAGCCUAAAGCUGGUGGUAAAUCCCACCUAAAGCUAAAUACAGGCGAGAGACCGAUAGCGAACAAGUACCGUGAGGGAAAGAUGAAAAGUACUUUGAAAAGAGAGUUAAACAGUAUGUGAAAUUGCCAAGAGGGAAGCAUUUGGAGUUAGACUGACUUGGAGUUAAUCAGCUUGGUCUUUGGACUGGGUGUACUUGACUUCUAUGUCUGCCAACAGCAGUUAGUCCUGAUGGAAAAAACUGAAGGGAAGGUAGUCCUUCGGGAUGUUUAUAGACCUUUGGAAAAUACAUUGGGAUUGACUGAGGAAUGCAGUAGAUGCUAUUAAGGCUUCGUCUAUUGGGUGUUAGGUAAAGGUACUUGGUAUUUUCAGCUUGCUGAUGUGCUAGGUUACUUGAGCUUAAUUGCCUAGUAGAACUGUAAUCUACUUUGGUUGUUGGCUUAAUGACUCUAAAUGGC
rnacentral:rRNA from 1 species